GUCUUCCCAUAUGGGUGCAUCUCCUGCUUUUCCACCAAGUGCAUGCACAUCCCUCUCUUCAUCAUGGCACUUACCAUGCUGUAUUAGAAGCAUUUGUUCAUUUGCUGCUUCAUUUUCUUUCCUAAACUGUGAGCUCCUUAAAGGGUACGAAGGAUUCCUUGUGUCUCUGACUCCUCAAUCUACAGCAUAGUAUCUGUAUGCAGUAGGAACUUGGAAAAUGUCUACUGAGUAAAUGGAGCUACCAACAUGACAUUACUAAACAUGGGUAUGGGAACAGAUGCACAGUAUCAUGCCAUUAAUUAUGAAGGGUUUCCACCACACAAUUACAAGAGAUGGAAAUGACCUGAAGAGUGAAAUGCAGUGAAAUAAUUAAGAAGUGAUGACUUUUGAGUGUUUAUUAUUUUUGUUUUUAACAUGUCUUUAAUGGAUACCAAUAACCUUUUAGAGACUGUUCUGGAUCCUGAAUAUUAGUUUCCCUGUGAUGCUUCCUUGGAUGAGAGUUGACUGAGUUUGUACAAGUUCCACACUGUAUUAGGGAACACCAUUCACAUACGGAUAUCUGCUUGGGCCAUCACAGGCUCCAUUGCUUUCUGUUGCUCACCUGUCUCACUAUAGCUUGAACAUGUGCCCUGGUGUUUGGACUUGCUUUGGUUCCAUCACAUGGUUCUUCUAUCCUGCACGUCUUCUUAGUUUUGGAUUUCUCUUUGGACUCAAGGUUCUUAUUCUUUUUGUUUUAAUAACUGACAACUGGCCUCAUUCCAUGAUCUGAUUACAGAGCUGUCUGGCUUCCUGGCUUUGGCUUAGCCAAACACAACUGAAAUCCAAGUGCUGAUAAAUAGCAAUAUGAGAAAAUGGCUGAUUUAAGCAGAUAUUAAUAUUUUAGUGUUAUCAAUAUCCACCAAUACUUGCAAAGACCAUGGUUGCUUUAUUUCUAAACAAUUCCUAGGGAAUCAAGGCUGCUGAGUUUUGAAGGAUCCCUAGGCUAAAAAAAAUGGAGCAAAUGAAUGAAACAAAUGGCAGCUCUUCUCAAGCUGUCAGUUUGAAGAGGGUUCAGAGGAGAGUGAGUGAACAUAAGAGUCUUUUACAGAAUGAAUUUAUCCUUGUUAGCCCCUAGGAAGGACAUAUGGAAUAAAUCUAGGCUAAACACUAGAUGCUUUUGAAAUAAAAGAUACUAUACUUA